rnacentral:rRNA from 1 species
GAUGAACGCUGGCGGCGUGCCUAAUACAUGCAAGUCGAGCGAACAGACGAGGAGCUUGCUCCUCUGACGUUAGCGGCGGACGGGUGAGUAACACGUGGGUAACCUACCGAUAAUACUGGGAUAACUGCGGGAAACCGUAUCUAAUACCGGAUAAUAUAGGUAACCGCAUGGUUCAAUAAUGAAAGACGGUUUUGCUGUCACUUAUAGGUGGAUCCGCGCCGCUGUAGCUAAUUGGUAAGGUAACGGCUUACCAAGGCAACGAUGCGUAGCCGACCUGGGAGGGUGAGCCGCCACACUGGAACUGAGACCCGGUCCAGACUCCUACGGCAGGCAGCAGUAGGGAAUCUUCCGGAAUGGGCGAAAGCCUGACGGAGCACCGCCGCGUGAGUCAUGAAGGUCUUCGGAUCGUAAAACUCUGUUAUUAGGGAAGAACAAAUGUGUAAGUACCUAUCCACGUCUUGACGGUACCUAAUCAGAAAGCCACGGCUAACUACGUG